rnacentral:rRNA from 1 species
CCUACGGGAGGCAGCAGUGGGGAAUAUUGGACAAUGGGCGAAAGCCUGAUCCAGCCAUGCCGCGUGUGUGAAGAAGGCCUUCGGGUUGUAAAGCACUUUCAGUGGGGAAGAAAGCCUUGGGGCUAAUACCCUCGAGGAAGGACAUCACCCACAGAAGAAGCACCGGCUAACUCCGUGCCAGCAGCCGCGGUAAUACGGAGGGUGCGAGCGUUAAUCGGAAUUACUGGGCGUAAAGCGCGCGUAGGCGGUCUGAUAAGCCGGUUGUGAAAGCCCCGGGCUCAACCUGGGAACGGCAUCCGGAAAUGGCAGGCGAGAGGGCAGGAGAGGAGGGUAGAAUUCCCGGUGUAGCGGUGAAAUGCGUAGAGAUCGGGAGGAAUACCAGUGGCGAAGGCGGCCUUCUGGACUGACACUGACGCUGAGGUGCGAAAGCGUGGGUAGCAAACAGGAUUAGAUACCCGUGUAGUC